rnacentral:rRNA from 1 species
GUCCACGCCCUAAACGAUGGCAACUAGUUGUUGGGGGAUGAACUCCCUUAGUAACGCAGCUAACGCGUGAAGUUGCCCGCCUGGGGAGUACGGUCGCAAGAUUAAAACUCAAAGGAAUUGACGGGGGCCCGCACAAGCGGUUGAUGAUGUGGUUCAAUUCGAUGCAACGCGAAAACCUUACCUACCCUUGACAUGUCAGGAAGCCCGAUGAGAGUUGGGUGUGCCCGAAAGGGAGCCUGAACACAGGUGCUGCAUGGCUGUCGU